UACAGAGGUCUCAAGCGUUGUUCGGAUUCAUUGGGCGUAAAGGGUGUGUAGGUGGCGCCUUAAGUCGGGUGUGAAAUUUCGGAGCUUAACUCCGAAACUGCAUUCGAUACUGCGGUGCUUGAGGACUGGAGAGGAGACUGGAAUUCAUGGUGUAGCAGUGAAAUGCGUAGAGAUCAUGAGGAAGACCAGUGGCGAAGGCGGGUCUCUGGACAGUUACUGACACUGAGACGCGAAGGCGUGGGGAGCAAACGGG
rnacentral:rRNA from 1 species